GUGUAUUUUCCUCAAAACUACCAAACUAGGCUAGCAGCUAAGAGACGGAACACACUUCUCCUUUUCAGAGCUCGUCCUUAACGGCCUCAGUUGUCGUUUCCUCCUUCUUAGGCUCUCCAGCGGUGUCCUUGUUCUUGUCGAUGAAGCUUAUGAUGUCUUCCUUUGUCCUGUCUCCAUCGUAAAGCACAAUGUUUCCGCUCGCUGAUCUCAAGUAAAUGGUUGGGAAGCCCUUCACAUCGAAGGUGUCAUUUGGGAAGUCGUUUGCGGUUGCGUCCUGGACAAGCCAAAGUGUUAGAAUAAAACCGCAGAUGAUCAACCAACAAACUCUACAUGUGAAAAAGAAAAAAAAAUGACUUACGAGCUUGGCUAUGACAACACUUGGGUCGCUUUGGUAUGACACAGCGACUUCGUCCAAGAUGGGAACUAGCUUUUGGCAGUGUCCACACCAUGGUGCAUAGAAUUCAAGCAAGACUGCAAAUAAACAAAGAGGAAAGAAAAUUCAUUUGUAAGUUUUCUUUGCUACCAGCGAAAAGGUUUUUUGAGAUUUGAUAAUGUGAUGUGACUCACCGUUCUUUCCAGAGUUGAAGACCAUCUCGUCAAGGCUCUCAGCAACAACAACCUUUACAGGCUCGUUGUUUUCGGUUGGGAUGGGUUGAGAUUUUUUGUGUGCGGCAACUUUUCCAUCCUUGAAGUCCUUGACCCACGAUUCAAUCUGGUCAAUCUCAAUGUUUGUUUUCAGAUACUUCUUGUCGUCAGUAGUCUGGAUGAUGAUGAGAGGAACUUGGCUCUCUUCAAGUCCAAAGUACUGUUAUUUGUUCAGAAAAAAGAUAGUAAUCUGCUUAGCAUUUUGUAACUAACACGGGAUGAAACCACUAGGAGGCAGAGAGAUAGUCGAGGUAAGACUAACCUGGAAUGCGCCUUGGCUGUUCUCAGCAUCACCGAGAAGGAAGCUAAGACCCUGUCCUUUGUAGGAUGUAGCAACUUCACGGUACUUUGAUUUAAGAGACUCAGCUCCUUCUCCGGUAAAGUUAAUGAACAACAUCGCCUGAAACACAAAAUAUUACCCACAAUCAAAACCACCACAAGGUUGGAAACUAUAGGAUCAAUGAGAAACCUUAGUAAUAAGACUCAAAAACAAACUAUAGACGCUACUAUCUAAAUUCAGCUAAUAUGGACGCUAUCACAAUUAACUUCUAUGCAUUAGCUCAUUUCAGUUAAUAUACAAAUCAAACAAUCCUUAUCCACUAAAAAUAAAAGGCAUACAUAAAAUCCGUCUUUCUGGUUUAUCAUGAUCUUUGUUACAGCAUGAUGGGAUUUAAAACAAUGAGUUACCUUAGUGUUGGAGCUGUCAAAGAAUUUGAUAACAUAUGGGUGGUUGUUUGGAUCCUUGUCAAAGACGGUGAUAAGCGGAAUGCUUGAUUCUUUGACAAAUUUCUCCAAAGCUUCUCCAUCAAAAUCCUGGAUUGCAACAGAAGAAAAAAUCAAACAAACAGGACCACCUAUCUAUGUCAUAAACAAAGUGAAAAUCUUUUUCUCUUGUACCUUGGAAUCAACAAACAGUUCAUCGAAUGGUUUGAACAGCCUGACAACCGGUCCUGUCACAGCCUCUCCGCGAGGAAGAAGCUUGGCAUCCGAGGUGUGUGCGAAGUCAUAGUCAGAGCGCAGUUUCUCAGCAGUAGCCAAGAAAGAAUCAAACUCGGAGCCAGAUAGUUUAGGGAAAACACCAACCUAAAACAAGAGAACGUGCCAUUAAUAAUAAAACAGAGACACAAAAAAAACGAAAAGGAAUAUGUUUGUGACACACUUACCACAAUAACCUUCUUGUCAAACUCAGAAGCAUCCUCAGCUGCCUUGAUCUCAAACGAAGCAGGCCCGCUUUGUUUCUUCAAAUAAGUAACAAUCCCGUCAGCUUCACGAGGCCCGUUGUAUUCCUGAACAGCUUUCCCUCCGUUUCUAAAGAUCUUGAUCGUCGGGAAGCCCUGAACCUCGUACUGAGUCGCAAACUCUCUGUUGGUCUCCUCGCUCGCAUCAAUCUUAGCGAGUACCACCGGAGGCACGUGACUGCUCAACUCUGACGCAGCCUUCUCGUACUGUUAAAACAAACACAAUCUGAGUGGCUAUUCAAAAGACAUGCUAAGCCUAAAUCACGUGACUGAAAAGCCAUAUGUUUACCUCAGGAGCUAGCUGCUUGCAGUGUCCACACCUGCAAGAUCCAAUGAUCGAAUGCAAGAUUAAGAUCCAAUACAAAGACGCGUCAAUUACAGAUUCAAUCAUUCAAAUUCCACAACUAGAACCAAAAUAUCUCCCUAAUAAACCAGAUCAGCUACACAAUAGAUCGGAGAAGGAAUCAUUCGCAUGCAAUUCAAAUGAUUCAAAUUCAGAUCCAUCAGAUUCACGAAUCAAUAUCACAAGCAAAUCUCACGACUGCUACUACUACUACACUACAGUACUACUAACGAUAAACGUUUGAAUCAUUUAAAAAUCAAAUACCAAGGGGCGUAGAACUCGACGACGAUGAAAUCGUGCUUGUUGAUGGUAUCGGUGAAGUUAGUGUGAUCCAAGGUCAACACGAACUCCUUCGUCGUCUCCGUCGCAGUCUCCUCGCUUCUCACGGAGGAAGCGAGCAGCGACAACGCAAGGAUCGAGAACAACGCGUAUCCCCUCAUCGCCAUUAUCUCUCUCUCUCUCACACUAAGCUUCGUUUGGAAAUUAUUAUGUAAGCUCUAAGGGGGAAGCUUUGGGAGAUAUUUAUCAGCUCGUUUCACACAGGGAAAACUCAAUGCUAAAUGGUCAAGUUACCACGUGGCGUUCACUCAUUGGAUAUAACGUCGUCAUAGUUUGGCAAGAACUUAUGUGUAUUAAUACGGUGAUUUGACGAUAUUGACCUUGGCGGUUAUAUAAAAAUAUUGUGUCCGUGACUUCGUGAAAGUAAAUGGUCGAUAUAAAAUAAUGCAUUUAGAUCCUCGAGGAUGGGGCGACGAAGUUGAGGCUGGCGACACGUGGCGGGCGGAUGAGCCAGAUUCUUACACGUGUUCUGCUCCGUUUCCUUCUUGCGCGUCCAGAGCAAGCCCGGUGUAGCGUUUGUGGGCCUUGGGCCAUGUUUCUUAUUUGGGCUUCGACCGUUUUUUUGAUGUCCAUCUCAUAUUUGGGUUUUUCAUCAAACUCAGAUCAGGAUUUCCCACCUCUUCUUGUCAUGUGGCAUCUUCCAAGGUCGAAGGAACCAAAGUGAGAAAACAUGGCUGGAUGGUGAGGACCUUAACCAGAAGAAAAUCCAGGAAAAGUAAAACUUGAGUUUUUGUUUUCAUAUAUUUAUUUAUUAAACUUAGACAAAUAUGUUGAUGCUUUUGUUUAAAGAAGAAAUAUAUGUUGAAGUUUUUUUUGUAAGUAAUGAUAACAUGGAUUGAAAAACGACUGCAAAAAUCCAUAAAUUAAAUUGUUAAAAUUUAUUAUAUUUUGUAAAAUUAGGUAUAUCACAUAUAAUGUUUUGGUUUUAAAUGAGUAAUUUACAUAUAAUAUACAUAUAAAUUUAUCCAAAAAAAAUUACAUAUAAUGUGUUGGCAUGUGGUCUAAGAUGUAUAUGUUUAUGUAUGUGUGUGUAAAAGGGACAAGAGGUUUGCCCUUUAGGCCUUUACCAUACUUCUUUGUUGGCAUGUGGUCUAAGAUAAAGUCAUUAAGAAGGGAGAAGGGUCAAACUAGCCUUUUAUCGUUAUUUCUACAUUACAAAAGAGAAAGUGUGUGAAGAAAAAAGAAAAGAAAAAGUAAGGUAAAGAUAUAGAGAAAAAAAUACAAAAGCGGGUUGCUUUAAAAUAAAUAAUUUUGCAUGGGACUCUUGGAAAAUUUCUAUGACUUUUAGUGCUCACUUAAUUACCUUUUUCCUUAUUUUAUAAAGAAAAUAAAUGAGGAUAGUACAAAUUAUAAUGUAAUAAGAUAGUCCAUGUUAGGUUGUUCACAAUAGUGGGAAACAUUGUAGCACAAAAAGAUGGACCCAAAACAUUACCCCAUUCACAUUGUCUUGUAGCUGUCUCUUUUGUGUACAUUGUAAGUUUCCAAAUCCUAAUUCAAUACUCCUUCUGUUCCUUAUAGAUCCAUUUUUUAGAAAAAAAAUUUGUUUCAAAAAGAUACAUUUUUUUACAUGUUCAAAACAUUAAUUAAUGAAAAAUUGUACUUUUCAAAAAAUACAAUUGUGUUUAAUAAAAUCUCAUUGGUUAAAAAUUAUUGGAAAUAGUUAAUUAAGAAAAACAAUGUAUUAGAAAAUACAAUUUUAAAUAUUUUUUUAAUAAGUGUGGAAAAACUAUAACAUAGAUCUUUUAGGAACAGAGUGAGUAGUUUUUUGUGAUAAAUAUUAUGUUGGAAAUUGUUGAGAUAGUUACAGAACAUCGCAUUAUGCUGGAGAAUGGUCAUGUUAUAUGCAUCUAAAUUUUACCAAAGUUCAAAUAGAUUCGAAAUGAAAUAGGUGGAAAUGUAAAAUCAAUAGUAGUUGAUUCUUGACAAUGCUGAUUUUGAUGUAUGAUCUUUAUUGAUUGUUUGACGUGACCAUUCAAAGAAAAAGUUGCUUUAGUUUUUUCUAAGUUCAACAAGCUUAGGAAAGCAAUGUGACUAUGUGGUAAGACAUGAUGCGAAAGAAAACCUAAUUCUUAGGUUGAUUGAACGACGGGAGGACAUUUGUUUGUUUUGUUUACUUUUGUCUACUUUCUUUUCGUCCUUUUUGACCUUUUCAUAUUUUGUAUCAAAGUAUUAUAAAAAAUAUCGAGUAGAUUAAUUAGCUGGAUGUCAAGUAACUGAAUGUUUUUAUUUUGGUCAGUAGGAGCACCUUUCAUUCAAAUCGAAACUUAAAACAAGUUAUAGUAAACCACGUAAGAAGUCAGGAUGUCAUGCUAUCGUUUUGGUCAGGACUCAGUCAGAAGUACGUUUUUUGGUUAAGAUGAUAUGCCAUCGGUUGGGACCUAUGCGAUUUUAUAGCACAUGUGGAAUGUUGAUAUUUAUGAAUGAAAAUUUUAUAAGUUUUUUAAAAUUUCGUAAAUUUGGGUUUUCAUUUGUCGAGAGCGUUGGCUGUAGGGUUAAACGGGACCAUUUUCAUAGAUGAUCGUAUUCAAAACUAGGAGCAGGACCACGCACCUUUAUUUUUUUACCUAACUUAUUGAUUUGGAACAAUUAAAUGAAAAUUUUAAGAAAAUUAUUAUCCCCAAUUGAUUGAUCCAAUAAAACCUUUCAAUUAAUUAGCGCGCACACAAAAGUAUUGGGAAAUUUCAUAUGAUGGCCAAGACAAGGAUCGUUGAUCAGGAGUCAAGACGUGAACUCCACUGCUCUGUAUAUAUGGACACAAACAGAUAUCACAUAAACGGAUCAUAUAAUACUAUAUAUAGGGGGGGGGAGGGGGGUUAGUUAAAAUGUUUUGGAUAAUUAACAUGUUACAAAGUUAUAUCCUAUUGAAUGGUAAUGCAUGUUUCUAUUAUAUAUUUAAACGUUUAGUCAUUGAUUAACGAGUGACAAGAACAUGUGGGAUUCAAAUUUCAAAGUCUUGAACUACUGAACAUGACGUCUAUACUUAAUACCUAGAAGAGCUACUUCAACUACAACACGUCUCCAGUUUAUUAUCUGACGAUAUAUGCAUAUUUGUACUUAUUUCACUAAAAUACUCGAUUUGCCUUUAUUUGUUAUCGUACUCGGUUUUGGAGAAACAAUCAUAUAGGAUUGCUAAGGGUACUUUUGCUGCAGCUAUUUCUAGCCUGAUAAUCUUGUUUAUCCUCAACUCUUUCAUCUGCUCUGUUUCAAAACGGAAAUACAAAGAUGUUGUCAGUCCCUUUUAGUGGCAUGUUAUGAAGUACCAAAGGUUUCAUUAUUAGGUUGUGCUCAUUCUUGGUCGAGUUUAGUGGAUAGUUAGUUUAGUGCUACUGUAUUUUGAGAGUGGCUUGGAUGCAAGAAAACUGUGAAGCCGAUAAGCGAAGUCACCUCUUGGUUUUAUAUGUUUCCAAAAGUCCAUAAUGCAUUGUUGGUUUUUUGUUUUCUUGAGUGUUAUGCUCCUUUCAAUAUUGUUUCCCAUAGACCUUUUGAGUUUCUUAGGAGGGAGAUGGUUAUAGUGUUUUGAGGGAUCUAACAUGUUUCUUUUUCUCUUCAUCGGAUCCUUUUGAGUUUGUGAUGUGAUGAUUAGUAAUACUGUGAUCUUGGAAUCAGCAAUGGUUUCUAACGAUGAGCUUGUGAAACAACAUGCUAAAGUUGCAGAAGAUGCUGUUACGGCCAGUAUCUUACUGCUAAGUUUACACCAAAAAAAAUGAAAAACUUACUGCUAAGUCUAUUUCCUUUGGAAUACUUUUUCCUGGUGGAAACCAUUUCUGUUGUGGUUUUUCAAGGAUGGGAGAAAGCCGAGAAUGAAGUGGUUGAGCUGAAUCAGAAGCUCGAGGAUGCAGGCAUGCCGCAUGCAGGCAAGGAGAAAAUUGUGUUACAAGAUAGGGUUAAGUCAUCUCAAUGGGGAAGUAGUGUGUUAGACAAGUAACGCAAUCAAGAGAUGAAACAAGAAAAGCAGAAUCAAGAAGCUAUGACUGAAAAAACCAAAGGGGUUCUUAGAAACUCGGUCCCAAGACUUGCCACAAACUAAUAACAUUAAAAGAGAACUGACUUCAAAAAGGAAAAAAUUGACAAAAACAAAAGAAAACAGGCAAAGCCAUUAUUGUUUUAGCAGAGUGCAUGUAAAAACUCUAACGAAUACAGACACCUUCUCUCUCUCUACUGUGUAUUUUCCUCAAAACUACCAAACUAGGCUAGCAGCUAAGAGACGGAACACACUUCUCCUUUUCAGAGCUCGUCCUUAACGGCCUCAGUUGUCGUUUCCUCCUUCUUAGGCUCUCCAGCGGUGUCCUUGUUCUUGUCGAUGAAGCUUAUGAUGUCUUCCUUUGUCCUGUCUCCAUCGUAAAGCACAAUGUUUCCGCUCGCUGAUCUCAAGUAAAUGGUUGGGAAGCCCUUCACAUCGAAGGUGUCAUUUGGGAAGUCGUUUGCGGUUGCGUCCUGGACAAGCCAAAGUGUUAGAAUAAAACCGCAGAUGAUCAACCAACAAACUCUACAUGUGAAAAAGAAAAAAAAAUGACUUACGAGCUUGGCUAUGACAACACUU
rnacentral:lncRNA from 1 species